GCGUCGGUAGUGCAGCGGGUUAGAGAGCACGUACCUCCGGAUAGGGUGAAGUGUGGGUUCGAGUCCCGCCAGAUGCA